AGGGUUUGAUUCUGGCUCAGAACGAACACUGGCGGCGCGCUUAAUACAUGCAAGUCGAACGGGAACGUGUCCUUCGGGGCACUAGUACAGUGGCGAACGGGUGAGUAACGCGUAAGUAAUCUACCUUUUAGUUGGGGAUAACCCUGCCAACGCGGGGCUAAUACCGAAUAGCAUUUUUUCUUCGCAUGGAGAAAAGAUAAAAGAGGCUUGUCUCGCUGGAAGAUGAACUUGCGUCCUAUUAGCUUGUUGGUGAGGUAACGGCUCACCAAGGCGAUGAUAGGUAGCCGGCCUGAGAGGGUGAUCGGCCACAUUGGGACUGAGAUACGGCCCAGACUCCUACGGGAGGCAGCAGUAGGGAAUUUUGCGCAAUGGACGAAAGUCUGACGCAGCAACGCCGCGUGAGUGGUGAAGGUCCUCGGACUGUAAAGCUCUGUCAGGAGGGAAGAAACUGUCCGGUAACACCGGGCACUGACGGUACCUCCAGAGGAAGCUCCGGCUAACUCCGUGCCAGCAGCCGCGGUAAUACGGGGGGAGCUAGUGUUGUUCGGAUUUAUUGGGCGUAAAGGGAGUGUAGGCGGAAACCUAAGUUAGGGGUGAAAAUUCGGGGCUCAACCCUGAACCUGCCUUUGAUACUGGGUUUCUUGAGUAUGGGAGAGGGUGAUGGAAUUCCUGGUGUAGCGGUGGAAUGUGUAGAUAUCAGGAGGAACACCAAUUGCGAAGGCAGUCAUCUGGAACAAUACUGACGCUGAAACUCGAAAGCGUGGGGAGCAAACAGGAUUAGAUACCCUGGUAGUCCACGCCGUAAACGAUGGAUACUAGAUAUUGGAGGAGUCAAUCCCUUCAGUGUCAAAGCUAACGCGUUAAGUAUCCCGCCUGGGGAGUACGGUCGCAAGGCUGAAACUCAAAGAAAUUGACGGGGGCCCGCACAAGCGGUGGAGCAUGUGGUUCAAUUCGAUGAUACGCGAAGAACCUUACCUGGGUUUGACAUGGGGGCAAUCGGUGCAGAGAUGUACUUUUUUCUUCGGAAAUGCCCCGCGCAGGUGCUGCAUGGCUGUCGUCAGCUCGUGUCGUGAGAUGUUGGGUUAAGUCCCGCAACGAGCGCAACCCUUGUCCUGUGUUACCAGCGGGUAAAGCCGGGGACUCACAGGAGACUGCCCCAAUUUUGGGGAGGAAGGUGGGGACGACGUCAAGUCAUCAUGGCCCUUACGCCCAGGGCUACACACGUGCUACAAUGGUUGGUACAGCGAGUCGCAAUAUCGCGAGAUGGAGCUAAUCUCAUAAAACCUGCCUCAGUUCGGAUUGGAGUCUGCAAUUUGACUCCAUGAAGUUGGAAUCGCUAGUAAUCGCGGAUCAGCAAUGCCGCGGUGAAUACGUUAUCGGGCCUUGUACAAACCGCCCGUCACACCAUGAGAGUUGAUUGUACCGGGAGUUGUUGGGCCAACCCUUCGGGGAGGCAGGCACCUAUGGUAUGGUUGAUGAUUAGGGUGAAGUCGAAACAAGGUA
rnacentral:rRNA from 1 species